AUGCUUUAUUGAAUGUUAAUUCAGAAGUAUAUUGGGUCUGUCGGAUUUCCGACUAUGGCGAUAAACACUCCGUGAAAUAGGCGUAGCGGACCCGGGGGCAGUGCCCGGCGCCUCCACCAAAAGAACCCUUUAGGGACUGUAAAUUAUGGGGGCGAACCAGGAUCGACGUGCGUAGUAAAGACGUAGUUUUUGCCCGGCAUGGCACCACUGUUAUCGGGCCACAUUCGUAGUUGCGAACGAUAAUGAAAUCGCAAUCGCUGCCUAAAUAAUUUAGGUAAGCGCGGUUUGGGGGGCACCGGGCAACAGAAGCCCCUCGCU
rnacentral:tmRNA from 1 species